GGCUUUACCUGGCAGGGGAGAUACCAUGAUCAUGAAGGUGGUUUUCCCAGGGUGAGGCUCAUCCAUUGCACUCUAAGUGUGUGCUGACUCCUGCAAUUUCACCAAAUGCAGGAAACUCGACUGCAAAAUUUGUAAAAAGGGGUAGAGUUUGACUAGCACCAUGCACCCCC